GUUACCAAUCUGUUGCCUCGGCGGGAUUCUCUUGCCCCGGGCGCGUCGCACCCCCGGAUCCCAUGGCGCCCGCCGGAGGACCAACUCCAAACUCUUUUUUUCUCUCCGUCGCGGCUCCCGUCGCGGCUCUGUUUUAUUUUUGCUCUGAGCCUUUCUCGGCGACCCUAGCGGGCGUCUCGAAAAUGAAUCAAAACUUUCAACAACGGAUCUCUUGGUUCUGGCAUCGAUGAAGAACGCAGCGAAAUGCGAUAAGUAAUGUGAAUUGCAGAAUUCAGUGAAUCAUCGAAUCUUUGAACGCACAUUGCGCCCGCCAGUAUUCUGGCGGGCAUGCCUGUCCGAGCGUCAUUUCAACCCUCAAACCCCUCCGGGGGGUCGGCGUUGGGGAUCGGCCCCUCACCGGGCGACCCACUGGUUUGGAGUUGGUCCUCCUCUCCUGCGCAGGGGAUGCGGGGUUGCAACGGGAGCGGGGCGCGACAACCCCGUAAAACACCCCAAAGUUAACGUUUGUUUGGGGUUUGGGAGUUGUAAACUCCGCUGAAUCCCUCCUAUCGUUA
rnacentral:rRNA from 1 species